UUAAAACUUUCUUUUAUUAGAAAGUGUUUAUGAAUAUUUAACAUGUUGCUGGAUUUCAUCACCCCUCCCUGGCCAUUUCAUAUAUGUAUGUAUUUUACUUUAUUUUAUCCUUUAGGUUAACAGCUGUUGUUGUGCUCACCUGUGGACAACUUGCGGCGCUGAAACAGUCUCCAGCUGUAGCGAAUGGAACUCUCUUCCCUUCACGGGUGACAGCAAACCGCCAAUCUGUCGCUGAGCAACAACAAAAACAGACAAGCUGAUGAAGUGAUGUACUCCUGUGGAGUCUCUGUCUGCAUUCCUGCACAGUAGACCUGAGGAGAAAGAGUAGGAGGAGGAGGAGGAGGUGGAGGAAGAGAGAUGGUAUCCAGAAAGAAGAGGAGUAGGGAACAAAGGGGUAGAGAAAAAAAGUUUGGAGGAGAGGAAAAGGAGUAGGACAGAAGAUGUCACGAUGGCAGUUACAAGCCUCAUCAAAUACAGAAGCACAACGCAGACAAUUUCUACAGAUGACCUGAGCUGGCCGGGUCCUUCAAAGUCAUUUUAAAGGCAGUCAAAGAAUUUCCUCUGACUGACGGCGUGUUAUGAAAUAUACUGCAUCCUUUUGCAACCUUGUACACUAAGCUGCAGCGCUUAACGUAC